ACCCCUGUGAGAAUGCCCAUAGCCCCCUGCCAGGGGGUAAGGAGCGGGUAUCAGGCACAAUCUAUUAGCCCACGACGCCUUGCUUAGCCACACCCUCAAGGGAAUUCAGCAGUGAUAAAUAUUAAGCCAUAAGCGAAAGCUUGACUUAGUUAAAGCCAAACAGGGCCGGUAAAACUCGUGCCAGCCACCGCGGUUAUACGAGAGGCUCAAGUUGACAACCAACGGCGUAAAGCGUGGUUAGGGAAUAUUACAACUAAAGCUGAACGCCUCCAAUGCUGUCUAACGCUUCGGGGGUAUGAAGAACAUCGACGAAAGUGGCUUUAUAAUACCUGAGCCCACGAAAGCUGGGAAACAAACUGGGAUUAGAUACCCCACUAUGCCUAGCCCUAAAAAUUGAUUGCACAAUACAACCUCAAUCCGCCUGGGUAUUACGAACUUCGGUUUAAAACCCAAAGGACUUGGCGGUGCUUUAAAUCCUUCUAGAGGAGCCUGUCCUGUAACCGAUACUCCCCGUUAAACCUCACCCUCUCUUGCUCCUUCCCGCCUAUAUACCGCCGUCGCCAGCCUACCCUGUGAAGGGCUAGUAGUAGGCUCAACUGAUAUUAUCCAGUACGUCAGGUCGAGGUGUAGUGAAUGAGAGGGGAAGAGAUGGGCUACAUUCGCUGUAACCCAGCGAACACGAAUCAUGCACUGAAAUACUGCUGCUGAAGGUGGAUUUAGUAGUAAGCCGGGAACAGAGAGCCCUGCUGAAACAGGCCCUAAAGCGCGUACAUACCGCCCGUCACCCUCCCUAAGUCUACAGAAUUUCCAUUACUUAAAUAGCCUUCGCCUGCAAAAGGGAGGAAAGUCGUAACAUGGUAAGCGUACCGGAAGGUGUGCUUGGAACAACU
rnacentral:ncRNA from 1 species